CCACAACGUAAUCAUAGCAGAAAAUGUCUGCAAAUGAGCCCAGGGCAGGGCCAGGCUCAGAGCAUGUGCUCAGAAAAUGCCCGUCUGCCCUUCUUCCCCCCUUCUUCCCCCUCCCUCCUUCCAUCCCUUCCUUUCCUCUCUCCCUUCCCCCCUUCCACCCAUCCUUCCUUCCCACCCCGUGACAUGCUAGUCCUGAGCCCAGUAGCACAUGAUGAGGGUUCUUCUUGCAGAUCCGAGUCUUGGUGGGUGCGUCAGCUUUGCAUCACUGUGACCAAAAGGCCUGACAGGAACACAGAGAAGGAAACUUCACUCUGACUCUCAGUUUCAGAGGUUCAGCCCACAGCCAGUGACUCCAUAGCUCUGGGGUGAGGCAAGACAUCACGGCAGAGAGGUGUGGACAGGAAGUUAGCUCAGGGCAUGGUGGCCAGGAAGCAAAGAGAGCUCUGCUUAUCAGAGGCAGAUAUACUCCCAAGGGCUUGAAGCCAGUGACCUAUCUCCUCCAGCCACAUCCUACCUGCCUAUGAGUCCACCCAGUGGAUUAACCCACCUCUAAACUUGCUUGCAUUGUCUCACAUGGGUGCUUUGGAGGACACCUCCCAUCUAAACCGUCACACUUGGCAUCCCUUGAUGGUCCACUCCAUUCUCCUCCAUGGGCCAUCAGAGUGUGAGAACAUGGCCUUUCCAGGUGGAGCUCUUCCAUAUGCUCCGGGGUGCUGGGCUGAUGGCUCUGAAAUUCCCUCCCAGUUAGGACACCACAGUUUACUUGCAAAUGGCUAGAAGAUUCCGGCUCCUGCCGGCAGGCAAGACGGAUGCGUUUGUUUUUGUACACUUGUCUUGGAAGGUUGGUGCUUUUGGAUAGAGCACUGGAAUAAGAUCUUGGUUUUAGGGACUGCUUUCCCCUCAGAGGUGCCUGGGGAGUUGUGAGGUGGGAGAAGAGGCGUGGAGAUGUGUCCCGUGGGCAGAUGUCGCCGUCACCACAGACACUCAUCCCAGCGCUGUGGGGCAGCAGCUUCCAAAGCCUGCAGCUGCCAGAAUUUUUCCUCAGUAAUCUAAAAGUCUCACUAAAGUGCUGAGGUUGAUGACUCUCUUCCCUUAAAGCUCUUCCACAGCCCUUUGGACUUCCGUUUGUCCUCCCCAUUACUGGGAAGAGAUGCCCCGCCAGCCCAACUCACCCUGCCUGUCCACCAGCAGAGGAUCAUGUCCACCCUUGCCACACGCAGAACUGUGGACCUCCGAGAGUCAAAUGCUGUGGACGCUGGCGGGCUUCCUCCACUUCACCUUCCUUCAAACUUCCUGGAUCUGAACAGGAAGAGGGCUGAAAGGACUUCCUCUCCCCAGAGAGAGCUUCUGUUUGGGGCACUCUUUCCUGUGGUGCCUCUUUCUCCUGCAUCUUCCCGGGCAUCUUCCUGAGGCCCAUUGGAACUGUCAUCAGGAAAGCAGACCCUUUCCCCCCGGUGCCAGACGGGAGGCGGCCUCACCUUCCUCCACAGAAGCGUCCUCCUGGGUUAGAGAAGCUCUCUGGAUGGCUAUAGAGCACACCAGGCCUUGCGUUCGAAUUCUGUGGUGGCCAAAGUACUGGCAGAGUGGCCACGGGGAUCGGUGCACCGGCCGCCCGUCUUCAGAGCUCUCCUUCCUGCCAGUGGACCACACAGCGUGAAGAUCCACAUUCCCCCAGAUGCCAGCGUGGAAUUAUCAGUGUUAUAGUGAACUUGAGUAAAACACCCUCAUUCAAAAUAAGUCACUCUUUG
rnacentral:lncRNA from 1 species